AAUAGAUACCCAGGUAGUCCACGCCGUAAACGAUGAGUGCUAAGUGUUAGAGGGUUUCCGCCCUUUAGUGCUGCAGCUAACGCAUUAAGCACUCCGCCUGGGGAGUACGGCCGCAAGGCUGAAACUCAAAGGAAUUGACGGGGGCCCGCACAAGCGGUGGAGCAUGUGGUUUAAUUCGAAGCAACGCGAAGAACCUUACCAGGUCUUGACAUCCUCUGCCAACCCUAGAGAUAGGGCGUUCCCCUUCGGGGGACAGAGUGACAGGUGGUGCAUGGUUGUCGUCAGCUCGUGUCGUGAGAUGUUGGGUUAAGUCCCGCAACGAGCGCAACCCUUGAUCUUAGUUGCCAGCAUUUAGUUGGGCACUCUAAGGUGACUGCCGGUGACAAACCGGAGGAAGGUGGGGAUGACGUCAAAUCAUCAUGCCCCUUAUGACCUGGGCUACACACGUGCUACAAUGGAUGGUACAAAGAGCUGCGAACCCGCGAGGGUAAGCGAAUCUCAUAAGCCAUUCGUCAGUUCGGA
rnacentral:rRNA from 1 species